UACGAAGGGGGCUAGCGUUGUUCGGAAUUACUGGGCGUAAAGGGCGCGUAGGCGGUCCUGAUCGUCGGAUGUGAAAGGCCUGGGCUCAACCUGGGAACUGCAUCCGAUACGGCGGGACUGGAGUGUGGGAGAGGUUGGUGGAAUUCCCAGUGUAGAGGUGAAAUUCGUAGAUAUUGGGAAGAACACCGGUGGCGAAGGCGGCCAACUGGACCACAACUGACGCUGAGGCGCGAAAGCGUGGGGAG
rnacentral:rRNA from 1 species